UAUUUCGAAUCAAAAAUAGGGUAAAGCCCUGGUAGAGCACGGCGGAGGAGGAAGAGUCCUCCUCCACCACGAGCUCCAUUGAAGGCUAGGAUAAGCCUAGUCUCCACUUUUGUUUACACCCUCAAGCUCCCUAAUUCUUCCUCAUCAGAAGAUCCUCGCAUUUGUCGCAGUCUGCUUCUCUUUUUCUCUUUAGAUUGUCGACGGCUUAAGCUCCCUAUGCUCGCCGAAAAACGCAACCAAACUUCGUCGGAAUUGCAGAUAGUAUGGCAAUGUAAGAUUGAGGGAGUGCAGAAGACUUGGAAAGGAUGCUUUUCAUCAAAGCUGGAAGGAAGGGAUUUGCUAGAUGUAUUUAUGUUUGAGGUAAAUUUCUUAUGUUGUUGUCAUAUGAUAUUUUUUAUAGUACUCUCACCUUGGUGGGCGCACCUUUGUACAUUUUUAUACGUAUCCUCUUUUGGAGUUAACAUUUGCUGACCGUAUGCUCUCUCUCUCUCUCUCUCUUCUGUUUUUUAUCAUUUUACCUGUUAUCUCAUCCCUCCAUGGAAGAGAAUGGCGUCAAAACUUUCCGGAGUGGCGUCCCAGGUCCCGACGAAGAGGUUGUUUCCUUGUCUUCUGUGCUUCUCUAUACCUCCAUCAUAUUUAUGUGAUCAAAAAAUUAAUUUGAGAAAUCCUUCCUUGCCAUUGUUUAGUUAAGAUUUUCUGUACUUUUAAGUAUAUGUAGUAAAUUUUGAUUGAUUUUGAAUUCCACCAGACAUCUUUCUUGUGCAUAAUUUUUUUUUGGUGAUGCACAAAAAGAAAACAUAUUGCUGUCUCACCCAAAGAUCAGAACACCAUUGUAGUGGAGGGACUACAAAUGAUUGACAGAUUUCAGGUUCGUAAUUUUUUUGAGGAAAUUCAGGUCUGUAAUUGACUUUGCCAGUUUGGCUUAGGAUUACUUCAAGCCUGUAGCAGGUGAUCUACUUGUAGAUGUGAGCUGUGGGAGUGACUUGUGUUCAAGAAAAUAUGCAGAAUCUGGAUCCUAUUACACUGCUAUUCGAUUGGAUUUGUCGGAGAAUAUGGUUUGCCAAUGCCAUGAGUUCAUGAAGCAGGAUUAGCACUCUUUCUACUCUGGAAGUUUUUUUUUUCUUAUCAUGUUUCCUGCAUCCAACUUUUAUCUUUAAAAAACAUCUCGCAUCCUAAAAUUCAGUUUAAGAUACAAUACUAGCUUUUUAAGGUUUUUAUGUGCCAAUGUGGUGGGUGUUGCAGACUGUUGGGAUGCCUCUAUUUGCCUUUCAAGUGAAUAAAUGUCUGCCAAUCCAUUGCCA